rnacentral:siRNA from 1 species
UGAAUCCAUCAGUCGAGUCUUGG